AGAGUUUGAUCAUGGCUCAGAUUGAACGCUGGCGGCAGGCCUAACACAUGCAAGUCGAACGGUAACAGGAAGAAGCUUGCUUCUUUGCUGACGAGUGGCGGACGGGUGAGUAAUGUCUGGGAAACUGCCUGAUGGAGGGGGAUAACUACUGGAAACGGUAGCUAAUACCGCAUAACGUCGCAAGACCAAAGAGGGGGACCUUCGGGCCUCUUGCCAUCGGAUGUGCCCAGAUGGGAUUAGCUAGUAGGUGGGGUAACGGCUCACCUAGGCGACGAUCCCUAGCUGGUCUGAGAGGAUGACCAGCCACACUGGAACUGAGACACGGUCCAGACUCCUACGGGAGGCAGCAGUGGGGAAUAUUGCACAAUGGGCGCAAGCCUGAUGCAGCCAUGCCGCGUGUAUGAAGAAGGCCUUCGGGUUGUAAAGUACUUUCAGCGGGGAGGAAGGGAGUAAAGUUAAUACCUUUGCUCAUUGACGUUACCCGCAGAAGAAGCACCGGCUAACUCCGUGCCAGCAGCCGCGGUAAUACGGAGGGUGCAAGCGUUAAUCGGAAUUACUGGGCGUAAAGCGCACGCAGGCGGUUUGUUAAGUCAGAUGUGAAAUCCCCGGGCUCAACCUGGGAACUGCAUCUGAUACUGGCAAGCUUGAGUCUCGUAGAGGGGGGUAGAAUUCCAGGUGUAGCGGUGAAAUGCGUAGAGAUCUGGAGGAAUACCGGUGGCGAAGGCGGCCCCCUGGACGAAGACUGACGCUCAGGUGCGAAAGCGUGGGGAGCAAACAGGAUUAGAUACCCUGGUAGUCCACGCCGUAAACGAUGUCGACUUGGAGGUUGUGCCCUUGAGGCGUGGCUUCCGGAGCUAACGCGUUAAGUCGACCGCCUGGGGAGUACGGCCGCAAGGUUAAAACUCAAAUGAAUUGACGGGGGCCCGCACAAGCGGUGGAGCAUGUGGUUUAAUUCGAUGCAACGCGAAGAACCUUACCUGGUCUUGACAUCCACAGAACUUUCCAGAGAUGGAUUGGUGCCUUCGGGAACUGUGAGACAGGUGCUGCAUGGCUGUCGUCAGCUCGUGUUGUGAAAUGUUGGGUUAAGUCCCGCAACGAGCGCAACCCUUAUCUUUUGUUGCCAGCGGUCCGGCCGGGAACUCAAAGGAGACUGCCAGUGAUAAACUGGAGGAAGGUGGGGAUGACGUUAAGUCAUCAUGGCCCUUACGACCAGGGUUACACACGUGCUACAAUGGCGCAUACAAAGAGAAGCGACCUCGCGAGAGCAAGCGGACCUCAUAAAGUGCGUCGUAGUCCGGAUUGGAGUCUGCAACUCGACUCCAUGAAGUCGGAAUCGCUAGUAAUCGUGGAUCAGAAUGCCACGGUGAAUACGUUCCCGGGCCUUGUACACACCGCCCGUCACACCAUGGGAGUGGGUUGCAAAAGAAGUAGGUAGCUUAACCUUCGGGAGGGCGCUUACCACUUUGUGAUUCAUGACUGGGGUGAAGUCGAAACAAGGUAACCGUAGGGGAACCUGCGGUUG
rnacentral:rRNA from 1 species